rnacentral:tRNA from 1 species
CAACUUGUAGCUUAAUCAAAUCAUCUUGCUUACACCAAGAAAAUACCUGUUAAACCCAGGUCAAGUUGA